UCGCGGCUUAUCACCGGCAGUCUCCUUAGAGUGCCCAACUAAAUGAUGGCAACUAAGGACGAGGGUUGCGCUCGUUGCGGGACUUAACCCAACAUCUCACGAUACGAGCUGACGACAGCCAUGCAGCACCUGUCACUGGUCCAGCCGAACUGAAGGAGUGUGUCUCCACUCUCCGCGACCAGGAUGUCAAACGCUGGUAAGGUUCUGCGCGUUGCUUCGAAUUAAACCACAUGCUCCACCGCUUGUGCAGGCCCCCGUCAAUUUCUUUGAGUUUUAACCUUGCGGCCGUACUCCCCAAGCGGAUGACUUAACGCGUUAGCUGCGCCACCGAAACGCUAAGCGCCCCGACAGCUAGUCAUCAUCGCUUACGGCGUGGACUAC
rnacentral:misc_RNA from 1 species